rnacentral:rRNA from 1 species
GUCCUAUCGAUAAUAAUCUUAGGUCUAACCUGCUCGCUGAGUAAUUGAAGGGCCGCGGUAUUUUGACCGUGCAAAGGUAGCAUAAUAAUUAGUUUUUUAAUUGAAAGCUGGAAUGAAUGGUUGAAUAAGAAAAUAACUGUCUCUGUUAAAUUUUUUAGAAUUUUAUCUUUAAGUAAAAAAGCUUAAAUUUGGCUAAAAGACGAGAAGACCCUAUAGAGUUUAAUAAUUUUAUGUUUUUGGCUUUUUAGGAUUUUUGGGGUAAUAAACUAUGAUUUAUUUGGUUGGGGUGACUGAAAAAUUAGAAUAACUUUUUCUUUAUUUUUACAUUAAUUUAUGAAGAAUUUGAUCCAGAUUUUUUGAUUAUAAGAGUAAAUUACCUUAGGGAUAACAGCGUAAUUCUUUUUGAGAGUUCAAAUCGAAAAUGGAGUUUGCGA